AUUGAACGCUGGCGGCAGGCCUAACACAUGCAAGUCGAACGGUAACAGGAAGAAGCUUGCUUCUUUGCUGACGAGUGGCGGACGGGUGAGUAAUGUCCGGGAAACUGCCUGAUGGAGGGGGAUAACUACUGGAAACGGUAGCUAAUACAGCAUAACGUAGCAAGACCAAAGAGGGGGACAUUCGGGCCUCUUGCCAUCGGAUGUGCCCAGAUGGGAUUAGCUAGUAGGUGGGGUAACGGCUCACCUAGGCGACGAUCCCUAGCUGGUCUGAGAGGAUGACCAGCCACACUGGAACUGAGACACGGUCCAGACUCCUACGGGAGGCAGCAGUGGGGAAUAUUGCACAAUGGGCGCAAGCCUGAUGCAGCCAUGCCGCGUGUAUGAAGAAGGCCUUCGGGUUGUAAAGUACUUUCGGCGGGGAGGAAGGGAGUAAAGUUAAUACCUUGGCUCAUUGACGUUACCCGCAGAAGAAGCACCGGCUAACUCCGUG
rnacentral:rRNA from 1 species